rnacentral:rRNA from 1 species
CGGCAGAGGCAGGCGGAAUUCGUGGUGUAGCGGUGAAAUGCUUAGAUAUCACGAAGAACUCCGAUUGCGAAGGCAGCUUGCUGGACCGUAACUGACGUUGAUGCUCGAAAGUGCGGGUAUCAAACAGGAUUAGAUACCCUGGUAGUCCGCACAGUAAACGAUGAAUACUCGCUGUUGGCGAUAUACUGCCAGCGGCCAAGCGAAAGCGUUAAGUAUUCCACCUGGGGAGUACGCCGGCAACGGUGAAACUCAAAGGAAUUGACGGGGGCCCGCACAAGCGGAGGAACAUGUGGUUUAAUUCGAUGAUACGCGAGGAACCUUACCCGGGCUUGAACUGCAGCGGAAUGAUUUGGAAACAGAUCAGCGAGCAAUCGCCGCUGUGGAGGUGCUGCAUGGUUGUCGUCAGCUCGUGCCGUGAGGUGUCGGCUUAAGUGCCAUAACGAGCGCAACCCUUACCGAUAGUUGCCAUCAGGUGACGCUGGGGACUCUAUCGGGACUGCCGUCGUAAGAUGUGAGGAAGGUGGGGAUGACGUCAAAUCAGCACGGCCCUUACGUCCGGGGCUACACACGUGUUACAAUGGGGGGUACAGCAGGCCGCUACCGGGCGACCGGAUGCCAAUCCCUAAAACCCCUCUCAGUUCGGACUGGAGUCUGCAACUCGACUCCACGAAGCUGGAUUCGCUAGUAAUCGCGCAUCAGCCACGGCGCGGUGAAUACGUUCCCGGGCCUUGUACACACCGCCCGUCAAGCCAUGAAAGCCGGNNNNNNNUGAAGUGCGUAACCGCAAGGAGCGCCCUAGGGUAAAACUGGUGAUUGGGAAUGAGUCGUAACAAGGUAACCA